GACGAACGCUGGCGGCGUGCCUAAUACAUGCAAGUCGAACGCAGUUGUGACUGGUGAGUAACACGUGGGUAACCUCCCAUCAGAGGGGAUAACACUUGGAAACAGGUGCUAUAACGAUACUGAUGGAUGGACCCGCGGUGCAUUAGCUAGUUGGGGAGGUAACGGGUCACCAAGGCCACGAUGCAUAGCCGGCCUGCGAGGGUGAUCGGGGACACUGGAACUGAGGCACGGCCCAGACGCCUGCGGGAGGCAGCAGGAGGGAAUCUUGGGCAAUGGACGAAAGGCUGACCGAGCAACGCCGCGUGAGUGAAGGAGGUUUUCGGAUCGUAAAACUCUGUUGUUGGGGGAGCGGUAUCUAACCAGUAAGCCACGGCUAACUACGUGCCAGCAGCCGCGGUAAUUC
rnacentral:rRNA from 1 species